CCUACGGGAGGCAGCAGUAAGGAAUAUUGGUCAAUGGAGGCAACUCUGAACCAGCCAUGCCGCGUGCAGGAAGAAGGCCCUAUGGGUCGUAAACUGCUUUUGUACCAGAGAAAACCCGAGUACGUGUACUCGGUUGAUAGUAUGGUAAGAAUAAGCAUCGGCUAACUUCGUGCCAGCAGCCGCGGUAAGACGAAGGAUGCAAGCGUUAUCCGGAUUCAUUGGGUUUAAAGGGUGCGUAGGCGGACUGAUAAGUCAGUGGUGAAAUCUCUCGGCUUAACCGAGAAACUGCCAUUGAUACUGUUAGUCUAGAGUAUAGAUGACGUUGGCGGAAUAUGACAUGUAGUGGUGAAAUACUUAGAUAUGUCAUAGAACACCGAUUGCGAAGGCAGCUAACGAAACUAUAACUGACGCUGAGGCACGAAAGUGCGGGGAUCAAACAGGAUUAGAUACCCUGGUAGUCCGCACCGUAAACGAUGAUUACUCGUUGUUGGCAAUAUGACCGUCAGCGACCAAGCGAAAGCGANAAGUAAUCCAACCUGGGGAGUUACGCCGGCAACGGUUGAAACUUCAAAGGAAUUGACGGCGNGAGAGNGCGACGACGACGACGAGGAGGAGG
rnacentral:rRNA from 1 species